rnacentral:rRNA from 1 species
UGGGGAAUCUUGGACAAUGGGCGCAAGCCUGAUCCAGCCAUGCCGCGUGAGUGAAGAAGGCCUUAGGGUUGUAAAACUCUUUCGCCGGAGAAGAUAAUGACGGUAUCCGGAGAAGAAGCCCCGGCUAACUUCGUGCCAGCAGCCGCGGUAAUACGAAGGGGGCUAGCGUUGUUCGGAAUUACUGGGCGUAAAGCGCACGUAGGCGGGUUUGUAAGUAGGGGGUGAAAUCCCAGGGCUCAACCCUGGAACUGCCUUCUAAACUGCAAGCCUGGGGGUCAGGAGAGGCGAGUGGAAUACCGAGUGUAGAGGUGAAAUUCGUAGAUAUUCGGUGGAACACCAGUGGCGAAGGCGACUCGCUGGACUGAUACUGACGCUGAGGUGCGAAAGCGUGGGGAGCAAACAGGAUUAGAUACCCCAGUAGUCCCUGAGCGGGCUGGCAAGGCGCAU